rnacentral:lncRNA from 1 species
GGGCCAUCUUCUUCAGAAUGAUAGGUUAUAAUAUUAAAAGACCUAGGGUCCGAUUAGGAGAAAGGAUCGGCUCAGAAUCUCUAGGGAUAAUGCCAAAACUGAGCUUCUCCUGAUCUCGAGUCCGAUGUUCAGAUGGCUCACUAUUCGCGCGUUCCUUGAGAGCCUUCUCUGCCCUUCCAUUAAUGGGGGGGACUAAGUCCAACGAGGAAGAGCAGAAAGUCAUUUCAACUAUCCCAUCAC